rnacentral:lncRNA from 1 species
ACAACAGGUGCAGGCAGGCUUUCAGAGCUUUCCAGGUCACUCUCUGCUCCAUGUGGUUGAGAUGUGAGCUCUCAGCUUCCUGGCCCUGUUGUCACCUUGUCGGCUACUUGCUGCCAGGCCUCCCCAACUUGAGACUUGUCCUUCUGCAACUGUGAACCCAAAUAAACUCUUCCAUCUAGAAAUCACAUUUGGUUGCGGAACCAAACGCAAGACUGCUCGUAUGCUGGGAAAGUACUCUGCCACUGAGCUACACCUCCAGGCCUAAAUUUUCCCUAAAGGAAAAAUACAUGGGAAAUUAUGCGUGUUUUCAAAUUUCAGAGGCUCAAGGAGAAAGCAGUCCAGGAGGGAGGUCACAGGAAAGAACAAACAACUACAGACUUUCUAACACAUUUGAAGAAACUUGCCAUAAAAAAAUAACAUUGAAGAAGUUACACAGACCUGGUGGACAGUUCAGAAGUAAUUAGUGAUAGAUGCUCACAUGGCAGGUACAUUUCUCCUGUCCCAGGAGAGAAAGAACAUCUCCAGAUGCCAGCAAGAGCCCGAACCAACAGUCUUGGUAUAGCAUCACUCUCAACAGGCUGGGCCCUCCAGAUCAAUCAUGAAUGAAGAAAUACCUCACAGACUUGCGUACAAGACAAUUUGAUGGAGGCAGUUCCCCAACUGGAUUCCCUCUUCUCAGAUGACUCUAGCUUAAGUCAAGUUGACAAGAACAAAUCAACAAAAAAAGCAGUCAACAACAUCAAAACCUACCCAGGAAACCCCGCCGCGCUGCGUCUAGAGUAAAGGGAAAUCAAUGGAUGUGCCUAAGGAAGGCAUUCAAAGUGUUAUUUUACCUUUGCAAAGCUGUGUUUGUCCCAGUCCAAGCCGUCUGUUCCGAUCUGCACGGGAGUGGGAGG